rnacentral:tRNA from 1 species
GGGGUUGUGGCUCAGAGGUAGAGCGCUGCCUAGCAUGCCUGAGACACUGGGUUUGAGCCUCAGAACCACA